GCGGAAGUAGUUCAGCGGUAGAACACCACCUUGCCAAGGUGGGGGUCGCGGGUUCGAACCCCGUCUUCCGCUCCA
rnacentral:tRNA from 10 species